rnacentral:misc_RNA from 1 species
AAAGUCGUAACAAGGUUUCCGUAGGUGAACCUGCGGAAGGAUCAUUAACACGUAUCCACGUAUCAAAAACCCCCUGUGCAAACCCUCUUUGUGAAGGCUGAUUGGAGUUGUGCUCACUCGAUCUUAAUGAUGGGAGUCUUCGGACUCGGGAUCUAUGAGUGGGACGCAGCGUUCGACAACCAGCCGCUAUUUUCCCAUCGUUAGCCCUACUAUUAUUAAACCCCUUUGUACUUUUUUUGUACUGAACCAAUUCUUCGAGUUUCGGCCUUCUCGGGCUGAGAUACGAAAGAUAUUACGAAACUAAAGAACAACUCUUAGCAACGGAUAUCUUGGUUCCC